GAUGAACGCUGACAGAAUGCUUAACACAUGCAAGUCAACUUGAACUUCGGUUUGGGUGGCGGACGGGUGAGUAACGCGUAAAGAACUUGCCUCACAGAUAGGGACAACAUUUGGAGACGAAUGCUAAUACCUGAUAUUAUGAUUAUAUGGCAUCGUAUAAUUAUGAAAGCUAUAUGCGCUGUGAGAGAGCUUUGCGUCCCAUUAGCUAGUUGGAGAGGUAACGGCUCACCAAGGCGAUGAUGGGUAGCCGGCCUGAGAGGGUGAUCGGCCACAAGGGGACUGAGACACGGCCCUUACUCCUACGGGAGGCAGCAGUGGGGAAUAUUGGACAAUGGACCAAGAGUCUGAUCCAGCAAUUCUGCGUGCACGAUGAAGUUUUUCGGAAUGUAAAGUGCUUUCAGUUGGGAAGAAAAAAAUGACGGUACCAACAGAAGAAGUGACGGCUAAAUACGUG
rnacentral:rRNA from 1 species